UACGGAGGGUGCAAGCGUUGUCCGGAUUUAUUGGGUUUAGAGGGUGCGUAGGCGGCUUCAUAAGUCCGUGGUGAAAGCCAACAGCUCAACUGUUGAACUGCCAUGGAUACUGCGAGGCUUGAGUACAGACGAGGUAGGCGGAAUGGAUCGUGUAGCGGUGAAAUGCAUAGAUACGAUCCAGAACACCGAUUGCGUAGGCAGCUUACUAGGCUGUAACUGACGCUGAGGCACGAAAGCGUGGGGAGCGAACAGG
rnacentral:rRNA from 1 species